rnacentral:lncRNA from 10 species
CUUAUGAGGCAGUGGCCAUAGGACGUGUCAACAACUCAAAAAUGAAGCAAGAUCCUUUGAGCUGGAGCUGCAAGAAAAAAAAUGACACAGGCCGGGCAGGGUGGCUUAUGCCUGUAAUCCCAGCAUUUUGGGAGGCCAAGGCAGGCGGAUCACUUUCAGGAGUUCAAGACCAGCCUGGUCAACAUGGUGAAACACCGUCUGUACUGAAAAUACAAAAAUUAGCUGGGUGUGGUGGCACGUGCCUAUAAUCCCAGCUACUUGGGAGGUUGAGGCACAGGACUCACUUGAACCCAGGAGGUGGAGGUUGGAGUGAGCCAAGAUCAUGCCACUGUACUCCAGCCUGGGCAACAGAGCAAGACUCCACAUCAAAAAAAAAAGAAGCAGCAGCAGCAAGAAUUUUAUAUGCCAUAAUUUAUAAUUUAAUGGAAUUGCAUACGGAAACUAUCAUCCUACAGAAAAUAUUCUAUCCCAGCAGGUCCUCCACGUACCUACAGCUGUUCUCCAGUUCAACCUCAUCAACUUCCCAAGGAAAUGUGCUUGGACUUGAUGUUGAAACAGCACUUCUGGAAUGCCAUAAUACAGAAUGACAUGACAUAUCACAUCAAAUAAGCGGCAGCUGAAAACAGUCCUAUAAAAAUGGGGCUAAGGGAGCCAGAAUUAUCCUGUUUUCUCACACCCUCACCAGACUUACAGCCUCAACUAUUCACAAGUGUUCAAGUCCAGAAAGGCCUGUUCUGAGAGCAAAUUAUAUCAAGGUAGGUAUUUAUAUAGUCUUUACCGUAUAAUAUGCAUAAUUUAGUAUUAUGUUUCCCAUAACCUGUAUUAUAAAAACAUUUUAUGUAGCCUUAUGGAAGCAUGAGGUGUUCCAUGUCAGUGAAUUUUGCCAAAAAAUAAAGCCUACCACUUAAAAUACCAACAACUUUUUAAAAACAUA